UACAGAGGGGGCCAGCGUUAUUCGGAAUUAUUGGGCGUAAAGGGCGCGUAGGCGGCCAUGCGUGUCUUCCGUGAAAUCCCUCGGCUUAACCGAGGACGUGCGGAAGAAACUGCAAGGCUCGAGUCCGGAAGAGGGGGGCGGAAUUCCCAGUGUAGCGGUGAAAUGCGUAGAUAUUGGGAGGAACACCAGUGGCGAAGGCGGUCCCCUGGGCCGGAACUGACGCUGAUGCGCGAAAGCGUGGGUAGCAAACGGG
rnacentral:rRNA from 1 species